CAUCCACACAAACAAAGACAUCAAUAUAUAUCGAGUCCCUGAACAAAACAUCUGACUUGCACUGGAUAGGACUAAAAUAAAACACAGCAUAUUUAUUAAAACAAACCGCAAACAACAUUGACAAAGUAAAUAGAAAAUAACUAGAUUGACUGUUAUUGCAUGAUAUCUGAUUAAAAUAGUGUGUUUUGUUUUGGUACUGAAAUGGCAUGGUGAAACAAUUAAAUGUGGUCUUAUUUAUACAACAACCACAAAUCAUAUGGUGCAAUCCGCCAUCUUGUCAUCAAGAUGUUAUUUCAAAAACGACACUGUUCUUAACACAACAAAAAAAACAUGCGCUGGUGUGUGUACGUGUACAGUAUCAUCCGAAGAACCAAUCAGUGCUAGAAGGAAAAAUUCUGAAUUAUUUUUAUAUGCAAAAUUGAAAAAAGCGAAUAUAAGUGAACA